AUCGCGCUCGGCAAGACGUUGUAUUCGGAUAAAAUAUUGUAUGUACUAGUUUAUUUCAGAAGAGAGAUAUUUCGACCUAUUCAUCGGCUUAUGUUUCAUUGAAUUGGAUUAACUAAAUCUAAUAGCAAGCUGUAAGCUGUAAAUUUAUUGAAAAUCGUUAAUUAAAUUGCUUACAAAACACACACAAACCAGAAAAGGGAAUAGAAAGAAAAAUAUGUAUGUAUGUAUAUGAAAUGAGCAAAAGUUCUUUAUAACGAAAAUAAAAAUUAAAGAGAGCAAAAUGGGAAAAAAAGAAACCAAAACAAAAAAUGAAAGAAAUGAAUUGAACAAAAGAAAAAAUUAAAAAUUAAGCAACAGGAAAGAAAAAUAUCUUUAUAAAAAACAACAGCUACAAAUAUCGAAGGAUUUUUGUUUAAUUUUCAUUAGAUUGCAGAAAUUAAUUUUUGUAUUGAAAUUCAUUCACCAAUUGUUUAAAAAAAAGAAGAAAGGAACAAAUUAAGCCAUGGGAAACUGGAAAAAAACUAUAAGUGAAACGAUAACCUUUCAAGCUGAAUUAAAUCAACUCAAGAGAAAAUCCAAUGAAUCGAAUAACCAAAAAAAAAACAAAAGGAGGAAAAAAUGGAGAAACAAAAAAG